rnacentral:lncRNA from 1 species
GCAGAUUUAAGUGUUGGGCCAUUUCUCCAUUUUCUUCCUCUUUUCUUCAAUUUGGCCCAAAUAAGUACAUUAGUGUAGGCCCAAAUCUGGUCCAUAGCCAUGGGUCCAUUAAUUUGGUCCAAAAAUCUUAAGUAGGUGACUCACCUACUAACUUAAUUAAUUCAAGCAAGCACCUCAAUAUUUCAUUCCAUUUCCAGCUCCUAAUUCCUUUAAUCUAACCUUCAACUUGUA